rnacentral:rRNA from 1 species
UACAGAGGGUGCGAGCGUUACUCGGAAUUACUGGGCGUAAAGCGCGCGUAGGCGGCUUUGCAAGCCGGAUGUGAAAUCCCCGGGCUUAACCUGGGAACUGCAUUCGGGACUGCAUUGCUCGAGUAUGGGAGAGGGAAGUGGAAUUUCAGGUGUAGCGGUGAAAUGCGUAGAUAUCUGAAGGAACAUCAGUGGCGAAAGCGACUUCCUGGACCAAUACUGACGCUCAUGUGCGAAAGCGUGGGGAGCAAACAGG